GUGUUUCUCUCUGUCUCUGUCUGUCGGUAAGAGUUGUGAUGAAGGGAAGUCAUUCCUGUCUGAAGUCCCAGACUCCCCUGCUGCUGCUGCUUACCACUCGAUAGUACAGAGUAUCCAGGCCUACUGCUUGUCCCAUGUGACACGGGAGGAGAGUGCUGGCUAGAAGCCAGUCUGGAGGCCGCCAUGUUGCUCUGGAUGCCAGGGACGGAUCACAUGUCGAGGGUCCCUACUGUCUGAUGAAUGAAUAAAUCACAUGCUCUGGUUUAGGAACUGAUGUAGGAUCAGGACCCCCCCCCCCCCCAUUCACAACGUGUCUCAGAGUAGGACUGCUGAUCAGGACCCCCAUUCACAAUGUGUCUCAGAGUAGGACUGCUGAUCAGGACCCCCCCAUUCACAACGUGUCUCAGAGUAGGACUGCUGAUCAGGACCCCCAUUCACAAUGUGUACUGUUACUGAGAGUGUGAAUAUGGGACCUGAUCCUAGAUCCAGUUCUGUUCUGUUACUCUGAGACUGUUUGUGAAUAUGGGACCUGAUCCUAGAUCCAGUUCUGUUCUGUUACUCUGAGACUGUUUGUGAAUAUGGGACCUGAUCCUAGAUCCAGUUCUGUUACUCUGAGACUGUUUGUGAAUAUGGGACCUGAUCCUAGAUCCAGUUCUGUUACUCUGAGACUUGUUUGUCAAUAUGUGUAUAGCUCUUUAGUAUCACAACUCCUCACAACCUUAUUGAAAAUUGUAUUGAUAGUUCACCUGAAAUUAUAUUUUGAUUUAUUUUGUAUGCAGUCUUGGGACCAAGUAAGACGGUAAUCCAUGAUGCCUUAUGUUUGUUUUACCUGGACACUGUCUCCAAAUAAUAAAUCUUGUUGUUGUUGUUGUUGUCCAAAA